rnacentral:misc_RNA from 1 species
AACGCACCUUGCGCUCCUUGGUAUUCCGAGGAGCAUGCCUGUUUGAGUGUCAUUAAAUUCUCAACCUCACCCAUUUUGUUAUGAAGUGGUUUGUGUAGGCUUGGAUGUGGAGGCGUUGCAGGUCCGGCUUGUCUGGUCUGCUCCUCUGAAAUGUAUUAGUGGGUUGUGCCCCUCAUCUAUUGGUGUGAUAAUUAUCUACGCCGUGGAUCAGUGUUGGCAACAAUUGAAAGACCCGCUUCUAACCGUCCGACUCGGACAAUCUUGACAUUUUUGACCUCAAAUCAGGUAAGACUACCCGCUGAACUUAA